AACGAACGCUGGCGGCAGGCUUCAUACAUGCAAGUCGAGCGGUAAGGUUCCCGCAAGGGGACCCUAGAGCGGCGAACGGGUGAGUAACAGGUGGAUAAUCUACCUCCUGGCGGGGGACAACGGCUGGAAACGGCCGCUAAUACCGCAUGUGGUUGCGCCGGAUGCGUCCGGUGCAAAGAAAGGCGCCUCAAAGCGUCACCAGGAGAUGAGUCCGCCCCCCAUUAGCUAGUUGGCGGGAUAAUAGCCCACCAAGGCAACGAUGGGUAGCCGAGCUGAGAGGUUGAUCGGCCACACUGGAACUGAGACACGGUCCAGACACCUACGGGAGGCUG
rnacentral:rRNA from 1 species